rnacentral:rRNA from 1 species
AACGAACGCUGGCGGCAUGCCUAACACAUGCAAGUCGAACGAAGCCUUCGGGCUUAGUGGCGCACGGGUGCGUAGCGCGUGGGAAUCUGCCCUUGGGUUCGGAAUAACAGUUAGAAAUGACUGCUAAUACCGGAGGAUGUCUUCGGACCAAAGAUUUAUCGCCCAAGGAUGAGCCCGCGUAGGAUUAGGUAGUUGGUGGGGUAAUGGCCCACCAAGCCGACGAUCCUUAGCUGGUCUGAGAGGAUGAUCAGCCACACUGGGACUGAGACACGGCCCAUGCUCCUACGGGAGGCAGCAGUGGGGAAUAUUGGACAAUGGGCGAAAGCCUGAUCCAGCAAUGCCGCGUGAGUGAUGAAGGCCUUAGGGUUGUAAAGCUCUUUUACCAGGUAUGAUAAUGACAGUACCUGGAGAAUAAGCUCCGGCUAACUCCGUGCCAGCCGCCGCCGUAA